CCAAACAUUUGCUCCAUUGAUCAUGCGAUCUUGCUGGCCAACCACCAGCCUUAGGUCCUCAUUCAACACCUGUUGGCAAAACUCCCAUCAGCACAUUAAGAAGAGCACAGUAGAAGCUUACUGUAUUGGGCAUGGUUUAGCUCUGUGAAGAUGGAAUUCUAGGAUCGCACUGUGCAGAUAGAGAAACUAGCAAAUCGAAUGCAGUAUUUGUCUUGGUACAAACCUUGGAACAUUCCAUCCCUUCGCAAAAGUGGUGGUGUGAGUAAAAGGAGCAUGGGCAAGGUCUAAAAGAUUGUCCAGCAGUAGGCCAUGCUCCACAGGCAGCUCCAUGACAAUCUGUCCACAUGGAAAACAUGAGCAGACCCGAAUGUUAGAUGAUCAUUUUGCAGUAAAAUUUCUGCAAUUCAAGGA